GGGGAUAUAGCUCAGUGGCAUGGUGCCUGUCUGGCAAACAUGAGGUCCUGGGUUUGAUUCCUAGCACCACUU
rnacentral:tRNA from 1 species